GAAGAACUGAGUUCAAAUCCAGCCUCAGACACUUACUAGCUGUAUGACCCCGGGCAAGUCACUUAACUGUGUUUACUCAAGUAAAAUAAACUGAAGAAGGAAAUGGCAAGUCACUCCAGUAUCUCUGCAAAGAAAACCCCAAAUGGGGUCAUAAAAAGUCACACAUGACUAAAAUGACUAAACAACAAUAAGAAAUCUUGACUUCAAAUCUAGCACUCUACCUGCCAUCCUGUGUGGGUUGAUUCUCUAUUGAUUCUCUACGUGACUGCAGAUAUGUCACUGAAAUCUUCUGGGCCCCAUCUUUUCUACAUUCAUUUGUAAAAUAAUGAUCAGAUCAUAUUUUCCCCACAAUCCAAUUUGAAAAGACAGCUUUGAAAGCUAAAUACUUGGGAAGAAAGUUGCUACUAAAGUAAGAAAUAGAACACGGGUAGUCGCUGAUGUUCGGAAGCUUUACUCCGGGAAUUCUGGCUAUCUAAUUGCUAAGUCAUGUUCAUGCUGUUGUAAUGGAAGGAUGGCAAGCUUUUCUUUUUUAAUUUCCUCAUAAUCUUGUGAUUGUUGCCAAAUAGUGGAGGAUGGAGUAAGGGGGGCAGGGCUGACAGCAAAAGUUAACUGAACUGGCUACCAUGACUACCCUUCCUGGAUGGCGUCUGCCUUGAAAGUCAAUCAGGAGGGGCUGAAUAUGAACUGCAGGUGAGACACACCUGGUGCCCAAGAAGCAGUGCAGUAUCCAACUGUGUCUACCAAGCCCUGGAGAGCUCCAGAACUACAAGAGUCUGGUUCAAAGUCUGGAGAGCCCAGUUUCCUAAAAAAAACUGCUUGGUUAUGUUAAAAAGUCAGUCACCCAUGAAAUGCAUGAUCCCAGAGAAUACAAAUGCCAGCCUAGUGCUUGUCUUGCAGAAACUCUUGCUUACUGGGAGGCAAACAUCAACAACUCCUGACUUUAUCAUACUUCAGAAUUGAAGGACUGCCUAUCCAACAAAGAUUCCAGAAAGUAGAAAAAAUAUUAUACUCUAGAUUCAUCUAUUUUGAUUAUAGGACUUCACUCUCUACUUAACAUAAGUUAUUUGGGGAAUGAACUUUUUUAAUUAAAAAAAUUGGUAAUUCUAUCUUAAGAACAUCAUGGUAUCUAUCGAGAUACUUGGAGACAUUCUGAGAUGUUAUGAAAUCAAGGAGAGGAAUGACCAUUCUAAAGCAAUGAUUUCCAAUCCAUGAGCCAUGGACCACUGAGGGGGCAGGGGAUUAUUGUGAGAAAUCCAUCUGAUUGUUGACACAGCAAAACAAAUAAGCAACAUUUUGUAGAAUGAAGAAAUAGUUUUUGCUCACAUAUGUAUAUCUAUUUACAUACACAUACUUACAUACACACACACACAUAGAGAAAGAAAGAGAAAGAGAGGAAGAGAGAGAGAGAGAGAGAGAGAGAGAGAGAGAGAGAGAGAGAGAGAGAGAGAGAGAGAGAGAGAGAGAGAUAUGCUAUUGUGUCCCCUCCCAACUGGGCUCCUGACUUUCUACACUUCAAAGUCAUACCUCUACUGCUGUUUCCUCUGGAACUUCUCUCAUCACUUGGGACCCCUCUGACCUCCAACAUCUAACACUGUGUGGCCUGCUCACCAUGAAAUAUACUUCUGCAAGGACCAUCCCACCCUUCUGUCCUUGAUGAAUUGCUUAGAGCUUCCAUUUUAUGAAGGGGCCAGGUUAGCCUACCUUCAUUCCCUUCCAGGUCCUGCUCCUGAAUUCUGAAUUUCAGAAUCAUACUGUCAUACUAGGUACCUUCAUCUUCCCACUAACCACCCACCCCCAACCUUUUCAGUUCCCUUUUGGAUGUUGAAGUCCCCAUUAGAAAUUAUGAGGACAGGAACUGUUUUUCUUAUAUUUUUAUCCUCAGUAUUUAGCACAUAGUGAGCAUGUAAUAAAUGCUUGUUUCCUUUCUUUUUCUGUGUGAUU
rnacentral:lncRNA from 1 species